rnacentral:lncRNA from 1 species
UGGAAGAAUGGGUGGCUCCUUCUGGGAUUUGGAUCAGUUUUCUUUCAUCAUCUUUGUGGGAGGAUUCGGAAGUUGUCGCUGAAUGGCAUCCGAGAAAUUGGUCGAGGAUGUCAUGAGUGUUGUUGCGGAAUCAAAGAAUAGAGAAGAGAAUGUCGAUGUUGAGAAUUCCAGGGACAAGAACAUUAGAACAGUUCCAAGACUCUUGACUUAUCAACCAGUGUUCUUUUCUUUUUAAAGCUUUCAUAUUCUCAACUUAUCGAUUUCUUCUCUGCAGUAUCAGUUUGUGACACCCACUUUUAAGGAUGCAGCUUCAGUACCUACUUCAAAGUGAGUCAAAAUGUUUUCUAAUUUCAAAUACGCAAAUAUAAGCCAACUAGAUUGCUACAAAGCUUGAAGAACAAAGGAACUGUGUUGGUUGUGAAGUUAGGGAUACCAAGCAAACCUUUGAGCUGUUGGAGUCCUAUAACAAUGGUGGCACCAUCCACGAACCCUAUUAUGGCUGCGUGAGACAGAAAAUCCACCAGAAGCCCUAAUUUGAAUAUCCCAAAGGAAGCUUGGAAGAUUUCGGCAAAGAAAAUUGUGGUUAGGACGAGUUUCUUGUACCCCAAGGGAUCUGUUUCUGGAUCGAUCAGUUUCUGCAACAUCGAGGAUUUAAUAAGAGAUAUUACAGCCACUUCCCAUUGGUUUAAUGACUGAUCGAAG